rnacentral:ncRNA from 1 species
ACCAUUAGAGUUGGUAUUUCUUUGCCGACGCCUUACAGGAUCACAAAUACGUACGCCUAGAUGACCGAAUUUCUAGAUAAAGUGUGUCUAGCUCUGGAGCACCGCGCCCUUAAUAAAGCUGUUGUGCUUGAAAAUAUAGUAAGACAUUGGUAAAUGUUUGUACCCAUAACAAGGCCUAGACGCAACAGCUAACAUAGUGGCGCAAAAGCAAGAAGAGUAACAUUUUCAAAGCACUUAUCUUAGUUAACCAAUCCUCUCUAUGCCAGUUCGGGAGUAUUCGUAUGUUGAAAUUUCUGCACGGCAGCGAGACGCCCUAAAGCGAAAGCAUUUGCAAAGAAAAACUUCAUGAAUCAGGAAAGAAAGUCAUAGGUUCGAAGCCGAAUAGAUACUGCCCUGGUUCUGACCGUGAACUAUGCCAUCUAGCGAUCCGAUGGAGGCAUUUUUGCCCUGUCAAGGAGGUUUCAGAAAACGAAGGUCGUUCGGUU